rnacentral:rRNA from 1 species
CAGUAGCCGCGGGAAUACGUAGGUCCCGAGCGUUGUCCGGAUUUAUUGGGCGUAAAGCGAGCGCAGGCGGUUAGAUAAGUCUGAAGUUAAAGGCUGUGGCUUAACCAUAGUACGCUUUGGGAACUGUUUAACUUGAGUGCAGAAGGGGAGAGUGGAAUUCCACGUGUAGCGGUGAAAUGCGUAGGUAUAUGGAGGAACACCGGUGGCGAAAGCGGCUCUCUGGUCUGUAACUGACGCUGAGGCUCGAAAGCGUGGGGAGCGAACAGGAUUAGAUACCCGGGUAGUCCAUGUCUCUUAUACA